CGGGACUGAGACCCGGCCCAGACUCCUACGGGAGGCAGCAGUGGGAAUAUGGACAAUGGCGAAAGCCUGAUCCAGCAAUUCCGAGUGAGUGAUGAAGGCCUUAGGGUUGUAAAGCUCUUUUAGCAAGGAAGAUAAUGACGUUACUUGCAGAAAAAGCCCCGGCUAACUCCGUGCCAGCAGCCGCGGUAAGACGGAGGGGGCUAGCGUUGUUCGGAAUUACUGGGCGUAAAGAGUGCGUAGGCGGUUUAGUAAGUUGGAAGUGAAAGCCCGGGGCUUAACCUCGGAAUUGCUUUCAAAACUACUAAUCUAGAGUGUAGUAGGGGAUGAUGGAAUUCCUAGUGUAGAGGUGAAAUUCUUAGAUAUUAGGAGGAACACCGGUGGCGAAGGCGAUCAUCUGGGCUACAACUGACGCUGAUGCACGAAAGCGUGGGGAGCAAACAGGAUUAGAUACCCUGGUAGUCCACGCCGUAAACGAUGAGUGCUAGAUAUCGGAAGAUUUUCUUUCGGUUUCGCAGCUAACGCAUUAAGCACUCCGCCUGGGGAGUACGGUCGCAAGAUUAAAACUCAAAGGAAUUGACGGGGGCUCGCACAAGCGGUGGAGCAUGCGGUUUAAUUCGAUGUUACGCGAAAAACCUUACCAACCCUUGACAUGGUGGUCGCGGAUCGCAGAGAUGCUUUUCUUCAGCUCGGCUGGAUCACACACAGGUGUUGCACGGCUGUCGUCAGCUCGUGUCGUGAGAUGUUGGGUUAAGUCCCGCAACGAGCGCAACCCUCAUUCUUAUUUGCCAGCGGGUAAUGCCGUGAGCUAUAAGAAAACUGCCGGUGAUAAGCCGGAGGAAGGUGGGGAAGACGUCAAGUCAUCAUGAUCCUGGCUCAAGACGAACCACGUUGCCGGUGAAGCAACAGUGCGCAUAGCGAACACUGGUUGUGCGAGACGCGGCUUUACAGUUGCUUUGGCAGCAUGUGCGAAUGGAGACAAGCUACCAGCGUUUGUGAUUUUAAAGGAACCGAGCGGCAAGAUACCAGCGAAGGCAUUCAUGAAACUUCGCAUUCCAGGUAAGUGUCAAACAAAUUACGUGUUUGUUUAUUAUGGCUUUCAAAUCAAUACAUUUGUUUACAACUAGCAUUUUGCAUUGUUCUCUUGUCUGUGUAAGAUUGCAACAAUUUUUUUC
rnacentral:rRNA from 1 species